UACGUAGGGACCGAGCGUUGUCCGGAAUCAUUGGGCGUAAAGAGCGUGUAGGCGGCCACUUAAGUCCUGCGUGAAAUCUUGCGGCUCAACCGCAAGCGGUCGUGGGAAACUGGGUGGCUAGAGUGCGGGAGAGGAGAGUGGAAUUCCUGGUGUAGCGGUGGAAUGCGCAGAUAUCAGGGAAGAACACCCGUGGCGAAGGCGGCUCUCUGGAACGCAACUGACGCUGAGACGCGAAAGCGUGGGGAGCAAACAGG
rnacentral:rRNA from 1 species